CAUUCUCCUCUCCACAACACUCUCCUCCUUGAAAGCAACCGAAACUUGGUGUUGUUGGUGUCCAUAGUAGGCCGGAUUUCAGCUGAACUUCACUUGAAGCUUGGGGAUAGAGGGAGGAUCUUUUCACUAGUAGCUUUUCGGAGAGGCUAGCGGUAGAUUCGUAGCGAGCUGUAGUUUGCGGGACUUGGUGAACCCAACUCUGUAGAUCAGAGCCAGGAAAAGAUCAAGCUUAGGUUCAGUGGGUUAUUCUGGGGCUUCUUCAGUAGUUGUGAUUUGUCAGUACCUGAUCCUUGAGGUUGUGAACCUUGUGUGCUAUUUUAUUCUAUACGAGUGAGACUUGUAUCAUGUUUGUGUAUUUUGGCAUGUAAACUAUUUGUGUACU